CCCCUAGAUGUUCUGGGCCGCACGCGCGCUACACUGAACAGUUCAACAAGUCUUAACCUUGGCCGAUAGGUCUGGGUAAUCUUUGAACGCUGUUCGUGAUUGGGAUAGACCUUUGCAAUUAUGGGUCUUCAACGAGGAAUUCCUAGUAAACGCAAGUCAUCAGCUUGCAUUGAUUACGUCCCUGCCCUUUGUACACACCGCCCGUCGCACCUACCGAUUGAAUGGUCCGGUGAAAUCUCGGGACGGCGGCUUGGUCGCUUGCGUCCGACUGCUGAAACUUGAUUAAACCAUAUCAUUUAGAGGGAGGUUAAGUCGUAACA
rnacentral:rRNA from 1 species